rnacentral:rRNA from 1 species
UACGUAGGGUGCAAGCGUUAAUCGGAAUUACUGGGCGUAAAGCGUGCGCAGGCGGUUAUGUAAGACAGAUGUGAAAUGCCCGGGCUUAACCUGGGAACUGCAUUUGUGACUGCAUGGCUAGAGUGUGUCAGAGGGGGGGGUAGAAUUUCCACGUGUAGCAGUGAAAUGCGUAGAUAUGUGGAGGAAUACCGAUGGCGAAAGGCAGCCCCC